UUUAUAAAUGCCCAAGACACGUCAGGACUGAGAGGUGAAUCUCUCUGGGAGUUGUCUGCCUGGAUUGCUCCUGUAAACACUACUCACAGGAUAGGUUUCACCGAGCAAGUUCUCAAUGUUGAUCAGGCAUCGCAGAGGUACAUAAAAAA
rnacentral:lncRNA from 1 species